rnacentral:rRNA from 1 species
GUCCAGACUCCUACGGGAGGCAGCAGUGGGGAAUAUUGGGCAAUGGGCGCAAGCCUGACCCAGCAACGCCGCGUGAAGGAAGAAGGCUUUCGGGUUGUAAACUUCUUUUAAGAGGGAAGAGCAGAAGACGGUACCUCUUGAAUAAGCAUCGGCUAACUCCGUGCCAGCAGCCGCGGUAAUACGGAGGAUGCGAGCGUUAUCCGGAUUUAUUGGGUUUAAAGGGUGCGUAGGCGGCAUUAUAAGUUAGUGGUAAAAUAUUGGGGCUUCACCUCACGACGCCAUUAAUACUGUAGAGCUAGAGAACAGACGAGGUAGGCGGAAUAAGUUAAGUAGCGGUGAAAUGCUUAGAUAUAACUUAGAACUCCGAUAGCGAAGGCAGCUUACCAGACUGCGACUGACGCUGAAGCACGAGAGCGUGGGUAGCGAACAGGAUUAGAUACCCCCGUAUAA